CACCGCGGUUAUACGAGAGGCUCAAGUUGAUAAAUCUCGGCGUAAAGUGUGGUUAAGGAAAUUCUAAACUAAAGCCGAACGCCUAUAAAAGCUGUGAUACGCUUAUUAAGGUAUGAAGCCCCCCUACGAAAGUGGCUUUAUAAACCCUGACUCCACGAAAGCUAUGAAA
rnacentral:rRNA from 2 species